rnacentral:rRNA from 1 species
GAUGAACGCUGGCGGCGUGCCUAAUACAUGCAAGUCGAGCGAACAGAUGAGGAGCUUGCUCCUCUGACGUUAGCGGCGGACGGGUGAGUAACACGUGGAUAACCUACCUAUAAGACUGGGAUAACUUCGGGAAACCGGAGCUAAUACCGGAUAAUAUAUUGAACCGCAUGGUUCAAUAGUGAAAGACGGUUUUGCUGUCACUUAUAGAUGGAUCCGCGCCGCAUUAGCUAGUUGGUAAGGUAACGGCUUACCAAGGCAACGAUGCGUAGCCGACCUGAGAGGGUGAUCGGCCACACUGGAACUGAGACACGGUCCAGACUCCUACGGGGGGCAGCAGUAGGGAAUCUUCCGCAAUGGGCGAAAGCCUGACGGAGCAACGCCGCGUGAGUGAUGAAGGUCUUCGGAUCGUAAAACUCUGUUAUUAGGGAAGAACAAAUGUGUAAGUAACUAUGCACGUCUUGACGGUACCUAAUCAGAACGCCACGGCUAACUACGUG